GAUGAACGCUAGCGGCAGGCUUAACACAUGCAAGUCGAGGGGUAUAGGUUUUCGGACCUAGAGACCGGCACACGGGUGCGUAACGCGUAUGCAAUCUACCUUUUGCAGAGGGAUAGCCCAGAGAAAUUCGGAUUAAUACCUCAUAGUAUAACACAAUCGCAUGAUUGAGUUAUUAAAGUCACAACGGCAAAAGAUGAGCAUGCGUCCCAUUAGCUAGAUGGUAAGGUAACGGCUUACCAUGGCUACGAUGGGUAGGGGUCCUGAGAGGGAGAUCCCCCCCACUGGUCCUGAGACACGGACCAGACUCCUACGGGAGGCAGCAGUGAGGAAUAUUGGUCAAUGGACGCAAGUCUGAACCAGCCAUGCCGCGUGCAGGAUGACGGUCCUAUGGAUUGUAAACUGCUUUUGUACAGGAAGAAACACUCCUUCGUGAAGGAACUUGACGGUACUGUAAGAAUAAGGAUCGGCUAACUCCGUGCCAGCCGCCGCGGUAA
rnacentral:rRNA from 1 species